rnacentral:rRNA from 1 species
CCUACGGGAGGCAGCAGUGGGGAAUUUUGGACAAUGGGCGCAAGCCUGAUCCAGCCAUGCCGCGUGCGGGAAGAAGGCCUUCGGGUUGUAAACCGCUUUUGUCAGGGAAGAAACGCUUUGGGAUAAUACCCUGAGGUAAUGACGGUACCUGAAGAAUAAGCACCGGCUAACUACGUGCCAGCAGCCGCGGUAAUACGUAGGGUGCAAGCGUUAAUCGGAAUUACUGGGCGUAAAGCGUGCGCAGGCGGUUCUAUAAGACAGAUGUGAAAUCCCCGGGCUCAACCUGGGAACUGCAUUUGUGACUGUAGAGCUUGAGUGCGGCAGAGGGGGAUGGAAUUCCGCGUGUAGCAGUGAAAUGCGUAGAUAUGCGGAGGAACACCGAUGGCGAAGGCAAUCCCCUGGGCCUGCACUGACGCUCAUGCACGAAAGCGUGGGGAGCAAACAGGAUUAGAUACCCUGGUAGUCCACGCCCUAAACGAUGUCAACUGGUUGUUGGGAAGGUUCCUUCUCAGUAACGUAGCUAACGCGUGAAGUUGACCGCCUGGGGAGUCGGCCGCAAGGUUGAAACUCAAAGGAAUUGACGG